CACUCCUGCGGGAGGCAGCAGUGGGGAAUAUUGCACAAUGGGCGCAAGCCUGAUGCAGCCAUGCCGCGUGUAUGAAGAAGGCCUUCGGGUUGUAAAGUACUUUCAGCGGGGAGGAAGGCAAUACGGUUAAUAACCGUGUUGAUUGACGUUACCCGCAGAAGAAGCACCGGCUAACUCCGUGCCAGCAGCCGCGGUAAUACGGAGGGUGCAAGCGUUAAUCGGAAUUACUGGGCGUAAAGCGCACGCAGGCGGUCUGUCAAGUCGGAUGUGAAAUCCCCGGGCUCAACCUGGGAACUGCAUUCGAAACUGGCAGGCUUGAGUCUUGUAGAGGGGGGUAGAAUUCCAGGUGUAGCGGUGAAAUGCGUAGAGAUCUGGAGGAAUACCGGUGGCGAAGGCGGCCCCCUGGACAAAGACUGACGCUCAGGUGCGAAAGCGUGGGGAGCAAACAGGAUUAGAUACCCUAGUAGUCCCAUG
rnacentral:rRNA from 1 species